AGUAGAAAAAGGUCAAUUUGCGUCCCCUGAUUUGCGUCGCACAGACACGGAAACGACGCACAACUGGGAUUUGCGUCGCAUGUGGGAGGAGUGCGACGCACAACGUGACCCAUUUGCGUCGCACCUGCUUUACAUGCGUUGCAAAAGCCAAAUAUGCGUCGGAUACCCUGACUUAUGCGACGCAAAUUGUCUCUAUAUUAAAAAAAAAAAAUCAAACUAUGUGCGUCGCACGUCUUUUGGGUGCGUUGCAAAAUACCCAAUUUGCAACGCACCUCUAAUAUGCGACGCAUAUUAAGACUACCAUUCUCAUAUUAUUUCAGGAGGCCCACUACUUCAAAAACCCUAGCUCACACGCCCUCCCUCCCCUCAAUGCUCAGCGCCCCUCUCUCUCUCUCUUCAAACUCCCCUCUCUCUCUCUCUUCAAACGCCCCUCAAUUCUCAGCGCCUCCCUCUCUCUCUUCGUUGUUUCGUCGAACACCUCCUCCCUCUCUCUCUCUCUCUUCGUUGUAGCAGUCGUUUUGUUGAAAAACCGCGUCGAACACGCUCAUUUCCGUCGAACCGCGUCGAACACCGCGUCGAACACCGCGCCUAUGUGCGUCGUUUUGUCGUUCCAUCUUUUAGGUUCAUCGUGUAUUAGGAAUUUCCGUCGAACACCGCCUGCAAACACCAACAUCAGAUUCGAAGAAGAGCAGCGAUGAAAAUUGAAAAACCACCAACCCUUUCUCAGAUCUAACGUUCUCAGAUCUGGUUUUUAGCGAUUUGAAGAUAGAGAUUUGAAGAAAGAGAUUGAAGAAAGAGAUUUGAAGAACGAGAUUGAAGAACGAGAUUUGGUUUUUGGCGAAUUUGUUCGUUCCAUUUCGCGAUUUGUAAUUUUUUUUGAAGAUACGUAUUUCGUUUGUAUGUUUGAAGAUCUGGUAUUUUUUAUGUUAUUUGUUUUUUAAUUUCGUUUGUAUGACAUGAUAGUGUUGCAAGAUCUGGUAUUUUUUAUGUUUAGUUUUUUAAUUUCGUUUUUUUUGUAUGUUAGAUCUGAGUUUUUUAUUUUUGUUAUUUGUUAGGAUUUUUUUCUUUUCUUAAUCGACGUAAGAUUGUACUUUCUUAAUCUAAUUUAUUAUCUCGUUCCAUCAA